AAGAAGAUGAGAGGCGAUGAAAAUAGAUUCU
rnacentral:sRNA from 1 species